rnacentral:tRNA from 1 species
GAGGGUACAGCUCAAGUGGCAGAGCGCAUGCUCACAAUGCAGGAGGUCCUGGGUUCAAUCCCUAGUACCUCCU